GUGGGGAAUAUUGGUCAAUGGGGGAAACCCUGAACCAGCAACGCCGCGUGAAGGAAGAAGGCUUUCGGGUUGUAAACUUCUUUGACAGGGGACGAAAGCAAUGACGGUACCCUGAAAACAAGCCACGGCUAACUACGUGCCAGCAGCCGCGGUAAUACGUAGGUGGCGAGCGUUGUCCGGAUUUACUGGGUGUAAAGGGCGUGUAGGCGGGGCGGUAAGUCAGAUGUGAAAUGUAGGGGCUCAACCCCUGAACUGCAUUUGAAACUAUCGUUCUUGAGUGAUGGAGAGGCAGGCGGAAUUCCGUGUGUAGCGGUGAAAUGCGUAGAUAUACGGAGGAACACCAGUGGCGAAGGCGGCCUGCUGGACAUUAACUGACGCUGAGGCGCGAAAGCGUGGGGAGCAAACAGGAUUAGAAACCCCGGUAGUCC
rnacentral:rRNA from 1 species